rnacentral:rRNA from 1 species
AUGCUCGGUGUUAUUUGCUGUUUGAUAAUAGGCCUUAAAACCAGGAUGUUUGAUAAUAGGCCUAAAAACCAAGAUAAACAGAUGUUUUCACACCUUUGCUUUGCCUCUGUGUUGACCAGAAGAAAUUACUUACAGAGUACGUUUCUUACAAAACCUUUCCUCUGCAAUUGUGUUAAGUUAUUUUUGAUAGCAAACUUUUGUUCUAACCUCAUUGGCAAACCUGAUGACCUGAUCCAAUUACUUACCUGUGUAAAGUGCAAACUUGUGUGCUCACUGCCUAUUCUUCUCUUAUUGGAGUCGCAUUCACCUGCGUUCCAUUCAAGUAAUGGAUACAUAGUUGUUGCUAAGUCUAUUCAUGGUCAUUGCAGGCACAGUUAA